rnacentral:lncRNA from 1 species
UAUGUUUUAGUAAUUCGCAGCGGCCUUUGUUAAUGAAAGCCGGCGGGACUAUCUGCGCGUUGCGACACUAGGGGGCGCACCCCGCCCCAAGCGCGAUAUCUUACGCAGGUUGCGCAUUAAACUAAGCCAGUAUGCCAUCAUGAUCCCUGUUGAACCUGCUAUUGCGACAGCAUAGUGUGUGACGAAGCGAUAUUGCCGUACUGUACUAAUAAAAUGUAAACACAAAAGGUAAGCGCGUAUGUGCUCCGCAUCUCUCUUCUGCGGCCAGAAAUGGUGCUGGUGUGGCACUCUGUAUGUACAGUGCAAGCUUUUGGAUGAGGGCGCUUUGUACCCCUGGCCAGCUGCAAUCCCUGGGAAAAGCCUCAUUUAAAGCCAUUAUCGACUCUUCAGAGGACUACCAUCAC